UUCAGAUGAUCAUGUGUUCUGACAAGGUGCUGAAGCCUUGGCGAGAAGGAAACCAGGUGUGGGUGAGUUGGUCUCAGACUCUGAAAGUCAAUGUGACCAGAGAGCUCCUAAUUAAAAUGGCCUCCCAUAAAGUCACAGUUAGAGUAUGGGACAGCAAAGACAAGAUAUCCUUCAAAGCCAGGAAUGACAGACCCAAAGGCUUCAGACUACGACAGGAGAGGUCUGGAAAGGAUCCAGAUCAAAUGGGUAGCAUCAGAAAGAAGGUUUAUAAGAUGAGAGCUAUCUAUGAGAAGGAGAACAGCAAAACAAGGAAAUUUAUGAAACACAGCAAAGAUCCAGAAUCGGCUGACUAUAGGAAGCAUUUGGAGCUUCGCUGUGACACAGGGAUGACAUAAUGCUAAUGUUUAUACUGUAUGCUAAUAAAAGACUUACUAUGA